AGUCUCACUGAGGUCCUCCACUCUUCUCUCAAGUCCAAAAUGAGGAUUACAGCACCUAUUAAUGCAUAAUAAUGUGGAAUGUGGACUGAAGAUACUGCCAAGUGCUGACCCUGAGGACCAUUUCAGAGUCUACUCCAGAGGACUUCCUGUCUUUUCCCCUUGUCACCUUUCCUCCUUUCCAGACUG